GAGCCGCUAGCUCAGUCGGUAGAGCACCGGUCUUUUAAACCGGUGGUCCCGGGUUCGACCCCCGGGCGGCUCACCA
rnacentral:tRNA from 2 species